rnacentral:rRNA from 1 species
CACGUAGGGCGCAAGCGUUGUCCGGAAUUAUUGGGCGUAAAGAGCUCGUAGGCGCUCUGUUGCGUCCGCUGUGAAAACUCGGGGCUUAACCCCGAGCCUGCAGUGGAUACGGGCAGACUAGAGGUAGGUAGGGGAGAAUGGAAUUCCCGGUGUAGCGGUGAAAUGCGCAGAUAUCAGGAGGAACACCGGUGGCGAAGGCGGGUCUCUGGGCCGAUAUUAACGCUGAGGAGCGAAAGCGUGGGGAGCGAACAGG